rfam:Salmo salar isolate Sally breed double haploid chromosome ssa11, whole genome shotgun sequence.
UGUAUUCACUACUGUAAGUUGCUCUGGAUAAGAGCGUCUGCUAAAUGACUAUAA